UUGUAUUCAUUCUAAAUUUUUAUUCUUUUUUCUCUCUCUUUUUCCCUACCAUCAGAACCCCUCUUCUCCAUUGCUCUCCCCUUACCUAUCUCUCUCUCCCUCCUACUAUAUCCGCCUGCAAUCUACCGGAAAUUACACAAUUAAUUAACCAAGCAACCAUUAAGUGGGUAAUAAAAUUUCGCCAAAAAAGGGGUCUUUCUCUCCAUUAGCAGUAGCCGGCGCCGACGAGAUCAACUGGUCGACUAACCACGGCAAAAAUCAGCACUAAUCUCUUCCUUGUUAUAUCUCUGUUGGAGGAAACUAUAUGGGGCACUUCUUUACUAUGCUACUGUAAUCUCGUUAAUUGUUUCCUGAUAUAAUACGGCAUACUAACGAAUUUACAAUUUUUCCUUUUACUGUCACUUUUGCAGCCACUUGUUGGAGUGACCCCUCAGACUAAGACUUCAUGGAUGAACUGUUGUGGUUUACUUGAAGUUCUUGACAAAAAGCGUUGCUAAGCAGAUUGUGUUGGUUCCUGAUGGAGAUUGUGCAGAAUAUUGCAGAGUGAUCUUAGACUAGAAAUUUUUUCUUCUUUUUCAACUAAUGUAAUAAAGUUAUUAAAAUUAAUGUGCUUGUAAGA